UACGUAGGGUGCAGGCGUUAAUCGGAAUUACUGGGCGUAAAGCGUGCGCAGGCGGUUUGCUAAGACAGGUGUGAAAUCCCCGGGCUUAACCUGGGAACUGCGCUUGUAACUGGCAAGCUAGAGUGUGGCAGAGGGGGGUGGAAUUCCAGGUGUAGCAGUGAAAUGCGUAGAGAUCUGGAGGAACACCGAUGGCGAAGGCAGCCCCCUGGGCUAACACUGACGCUACAUGCACGAAAGCGUGGGGAGUAAACAGGACUUAGGA
rnacentral:rRNA from 1 species